UGUAGUCCUCAUGGCGCCCAGCGGGAAGGCGGUGUCUUGCGGCGGAGGCCGGGAGCACGUGGGCUGGGGAUCGGCCGAGCCCAGGCAGCCUCAGGCCUAUUGCGGCCAAGUUCGACCGGCGAGAGGCCCUGCGGGGCAGCUCCCUAAGAGGACAUCUCUCUGGCCCAGACUGUCCUGACCCUCAGACCCAGCCGCUGCCAGCCUCCUUGCCUUCUGAAACUGUCACGGGCACGUCAAGUUGAACAGGUGCGGGACCCAAGAUGAAGCGAUGUGCUCAAAGUCACGAGGAGCGAGUGCCGGGACUGCUUGGAUUCGAGGACACGUGUGUCACAUCUGUCACACAUGACUUAGCGACUGCACAACAACUAGAGUCACCUUUAGCGGCAGGAGAUGCAAAGUAACAGACACACCUGCAGCUCCUUGGGAUGUGGGGGGCUGGGGGUGGGGGGUGGGGAGGCAGGAACAAGCCCUGUGCUUGGGUCUCAAGUCCCAGAGCGCCUGCAUUAGGGUGCUGGGAUCCAGCACCGCUGUUUUAUUUUCCCCACCUGUCACUGUCCUGGUGCAGCGCCUCCUCACGAAUUCCAGGAAAAGGAAAAACAACUAAGACCAGGAUCUGGCUUCCCCAGGCAGACACAUACCAAGUAAACACAACUACAGCCCAUCUCCUCAAAUAAAAGCUGCGGCUUCCCUCCACAGAACAGUCACACACAGGCACACACACAACACACCGCACACCUCUGCCGAAGGGCACGGGGUCCCUGAAGGCGAGGGGGUUUGAUGACUUGAGACUGAUAAUCUCCGUGUGGGAUGGGAAGAGAGGAGAGCCCUGUAGACACCAAGACUGAAGGGGUCGGUGGAGCAGAGGAGCCUGCCGAGACUGAGAACCAAGGGUCUCCAGGUCCUCGUGUAUAAUGGGGAUGUCAAGAGCACGUCCUUGACAGUCAUGAGGAUGAAGUGAGGUGCUGUGCAUUUUACAGCGUCUGGCACCACGUCUGGCACGUGACAAGCACUCAAUAAAUCUUGUCUGUUCUGGUUCUGA